rnacentral:tRNA from 1 species
GCCUGGGUGGCUGAGUCGGUUGAGCAUCCGACUUCGGCUCAGGUCAUGAUCUUGCCAUUCGUGGGUUCGAGCCCCGCAUCGGGCU